AUAAAUAUAAAUAAAGAAGGAAGAAAAUAGAUAAUUCAAGAAGGUUCCGCGGCCACACAGCCAAACCCUAAUUCCUAAAAACUUCCUCUUUAUCGAUUCAUAUCACCUUCACUCUCACUCUCUCUCUCUCUCUCUCUCUGCAUCCAAUCCAAUUCUCAUCAAACAUGUCUCACUUCGGAAGGUCAGGUCCUCCAGACAUCUCCGACACCUACUCUCUCCUCGUUCUCAACAUCACAUUCCGUACAACUGCCGACGACCUAUUUCCUUUGUUUGAUAAGUAUGGCAAGGUUGUCGACAUCUUCAUCCCCAAAGAUCGAAGGACCGGCGAGUCGAGGGGUUUUGCUUUUGUGCGUUACAAAUAUGCUGAUGAGGCUUCGAAGGCUGUUGAUAGACUUGACGGAAGGAUGGUUGAUGGUCGUGAAAUAACUGUUCAGUUUGCAAAAUAUGGCCCUAAUGCUGAGAGGAUUCACAAAGGAAGGAUUAUUGAAACAUCCCCAAGAUCAAAGAGCUCAAGGAGCCGCAGUCCCAGCAGGAGAAGGCAUCAUGAUGAUUACAAAGACAAGGAUUACAGGAGAAGAAGCCGCAGCAGGAGUUAUGACAGGCAUGAACGUGACAGGUACCGUGGGAGAGACAGGGAUUAUCGUCGCAGAAGCAGAAGCAGAAGCCGUAGUGCCAGUCCUGAUUACAAGGGUCGUGGAAGAGGGCGUUAUGAUGAUGAGCGUCGCAGUAGAAGCCGAAGCAGAUCAGUGGACAGCCGCUCCCCUGCACGACGCAGUCCAAGUCCUAGAAAGAGCCCUUCUCCUAAGAGGAGUAUUUCCCCUCAAAGGAGUACUUCCCCCAGGAAAAGUCCACUUGCUGGAAGUCCUGAUAAUCGUAGCCAGGAUGGAAGGUCUCUUACCCCUCGCAGUGUCUCACCGCAAGGUCGCCCUAAAGCUUCCCGAAGCCCAUCUCCCCGAAAUUCAAAUGGCGAUGAAUAAGUGAUUUUUCAGAAGUAUUCCAGAGACACCUUGACUAGUGCACCUGUUGCUGCUGUCUUGAUAAUAUUCCGUGAUUUGGUCAAUGUGAAUGAAUGGUCUUGUCAAAGUCAUUGAAGGAUUUUAUUAUCUAAGUGCAGUUGUUAUGAUCGGGAAAAGUGAUGAGGGCCUGAUAGACGCUUGUUGACAUUGUUGCUGUUGAUGCUGUUUCUUUGUCAUUGAUGAUUGUUCGUGAGUUUGAUGCUGGUUGCAAGACUAUGCUGGUUUUAGGACUGAUUGUUUUACCAAUAUGCUGGUUAGAAAGACACUUAGUUGACUUGAUUUUUGAAUGAUCUGAUUUUUUGGUAAGCUUUUUUGUUCACAUUUUUAUUUAUGAAGGCCCACACAUCCUAUGAGAAUUCUGAUUUUUGAUCUGGUAAUUGUGAUUGGUCUUCAACGAAAUAAAAAAUCCGAGGAAUUCUUGAUGCUGUGAUGGAUACUAGUUGAACGUAUUUUGACCUGUGGCUGAUGCCUCAUAGGAGUUGGACCUGUCAUUUGUUGAUUCAGACGCAGAUAUUAAACAUAAACUGUGGUUACUAAAUAUGAACCAAAAUUUGCUGGUGUGUCACUUCCAAUCACAGUGAAGGGGUCAAUGGUAACACAUUCAAAGUUACUUUAUUUAGGGUAUAUUACUGGAUAAUUAUUUAACAUUGACCUUAGUUUAUAAUAUCUGCUACUUAAUGUAGUUAGAUAUGUUUGUUGUAGCACACUGCUCCAUGACUGUAGCUGUGAGGUGGUUGCUGACUCUUUUAUUUGAAUAUGAGUUCGUGAGUAAUUUGAAGAAUUAACAAAUUACUGUAGCAGAUUGUUGCUGCCCUUUUUGCUGGGGUCGGGUUUGCAAUGGUAUUAGCUGUUGGUAGUUGGUGCUGAUGAUGGCUGUCUAGCUGUGCUGCUGGUUUCUGUUGAUUCCAAAGCCGCCUGACAUAAUUCUUUUCUACAUUAAGCACUUGGUUUGUUGUUGUGGUUCCAUCUUAAAUAGUUAAUUAAUUCAUUUGUAUGGCAUAAUUUUUUUUUAUUCCUUGCCAUUUGUUACUUGAACAAUUGUGAUCACUAUUACCGUAUUACGGUGUGGUUAUUGUUCUGCAUCUAAAAUAACAACCAUUGUUUCAAGAUUCC